GACAGAGGUGCCAAGCGUUAGGCGGAAUCACUGGGCUUAAAGCGUGUGUAGGCGGGUUCCUAAGUACCUUGUGAAAUCCCCCGGCUCAACCGGGGAACGGCUGGGUAUACUGGGUGCCUUGGGUCAUCUAGGGGCUGCCGGAACAAAUGGUGGAGCGGUGAAAUGCGUAGAUAUCAUUUGGAACGCCAACGGCGAAAGCAGGCAGCUGGGGAUGCACCGACGCUGAGACACGAAAGCCAGGGGAGCGAACGGG
rnacentral:rRNA from 1 species